rnacentral:rRNA from 1 species
AAAUUGAAGAGUUUGAUCAUGGCUCAGAUUGAACGCUGGCGGCAGGCCUAACACAUGCAAGUCGAGCGGUAGCACAGAGAGCUUGCUCUCGGGUGACGAGCGGCGGACGGGUGAGUAAUGUCUGGGAAACUGCCUGAUGGAGGGGGAUAACUACUGGAAACGGUAGCUAAUACCGCAUAACGUCGCAAGACCAAAGUGGGGGACCUUCGGGCCUCAUGCCAUCAGAUGUGCCCAGAUGGGAUUAGCUAGUAGGUGGGGUAACGGCUCACCUAGGCGACGAUCCCUAGCUGGUCUGAGAGGAUGACCAGCCACACUGGAACUGAGACACGGUCCAGACUCCUACGGGAGGCAGCAGUGGGGAAUAUUGCACAAUGGGCGCAAGCCUGAUGCAGCCAUGCCGCGUGUGUGAAGAAGGCCUUCGGGUUGUAAAGCACUUUCAGCGGGGAGGAAGGCGGUGAGGUUAAUAACCUCAUCGAUUGACGUUACCCGCAGAAGAAGCACCGGCUAACUCCGUGCCAGCAGCCGCGGUAAUACGGAGGGUGCAAGCGUUAAUCGGAAUUACUGGGCGUAAAGCGCACGCAGGCGGUCUGUCAAGUCGGAUGUGAAAUCCCCGGGCUCAACCUGGGAACUGCAUUCGAAACUGGCAGGCUAGAGUCUUGUAGAGGGGGGUAGAAUUCCAGGUGUAGCGGUGAAAUGCGUAGAGAUCUGGAGGAAUACCGGUGGCGAAGGCGGCCCCCUGGACAAAGACUGACGCUCAGGUGCGAAAGCGUGGGGAGCAAACAGGAUUAGAUACCGGUAGUCCACGCCGUAAACGAUGUCGAUUUGGAGGUUGUGCCCUUGAGGCGUGGCUUCCGGAGCUAACGCGUUAAAUCGACCGCAGGGAGUACGGCCGCAAGGUUAAAACUCAAAUGAAUUGACGGGGCCCGCACAAGCGGUGGAGCAUGUGGUUUAAUUCGAUGCAACGCGAAGAACCUUACCUGGUCUUGACAUCCACAGAACUUUCCAGAGAUGGAUUGGUGCCUUCGGGAACUGUGAGACAGGUGCUGCAUGGCUGUCGUCAGCUCGUGUUGUGAAAUGUUGGGUUAAGUCCCGCAACGAGCGCAACCCUUAUCCUUUGUUGCCAGCGGUUCGGCCGGGAACUCAAAGGAGACUGCCAGUGAUAAACUGGAGGAAGGUGGGGAUGACGUCAAGUCAUCAUGGCCCUUGACGUGGCUACACACGUGCUACAAUGGCAUAUACAAAGAGAAGCGACCUCGCGAGAGCAAGCGGACCUCAUAAAGUAUGUCGUAGUCCGGAUUGAGUCUGCAACUCGACUCCAUGAAGUCGGAAUCGCUAGUAAUCGUAGAUCAGAAUGCUACGGUGAAUACGUUCCCGGGCCUUGUACACACCGCCCGUCACACCAUGGGAGUGGGUUGCAAAAGAAGUAGGUAGCUUAACCUUCGGGAGGGCGCUUACCACUUUGUGAUUCAUGACUGGGGUGAAGUCGUAACAAGGUAACCGUAGGGGAACCUGCGGUUGGAUCACCUCCUUACCUUAAAGAA